UACGUAGGGGGCAAGCGUUGUCCGGAAUCAUUGGGCGUAAAGCGCGCGUAGGCGGCUUUGUAAGUUAGAGGUGAAAGCCCGGAGCUCAACUCCGGAAUUGCCUUUAAGACUGCAUCGCUAGAAUCAUGGAGAGGUUAGUGGAAUUCCGAGUGUAGAGGUGAAAUUCGUAGAUAUUCGGAAGAACACCAGUGGCGAAGGCGACUAACUGGACAUGUAUUGACGCUGAGGUGCGAAAGCGUGGGGAGCAAACAGG
rnacentral:rRNA from 1 species